rnacentral:rRNA from 1 species
CGGGAUAACAACCUGUAAACAGAUGCUAAUACCGGAUAACAACAGAUGAUGCCUAUCAACUGUUUAAAAGAUGGUUCUGCUAUCACUCUUGGAUGGACCUGCGGUGCAUUAGUUAGUUGGUAGGGUAACGGCCUACCAAGGCGAUGAUGCAUAGCCGAGUUGAGAGACUGAUCGGCCACAUUGGGACUGAGACACGGCCCAAACUCCUACGGGAGGCAGCAGCC